AUACUUACCUGGUGUCGGAGUGUCGCCGGUCAAGACGGGCGCGCUCCCAGGGCGAGGCGCGGGCAUUGCACAGCGCCCGCGUUGACCCCUGCCACUACCCCAAACUGGGGCAGAUGGGGCAUGCAAUUUUUGGUAGUGGGGGGAACUGCGUGCGCGCUUUUCCCCC
rnacentral:snRNA from 1 species